rnacentral:rRNA from 1 species
GACGAACGCUGGCGGCGUGCUUAACACAUGCAAGUCGAACGAAGUGGCGAACGGGUGAGUAACGCGUAAUCAACCUGCCCUUCAGUGGGGGACAGCAGUUGGAAACGACUGAUACUACCGCAUAUUGAGGGAGGGGCUUGCGUCUGAUUCGCUAGUUGGAGGGGUAACGGCCCACCAAGGCGAUGAUCAGUAGCCGGUCCGAGAGGGUGAACGGCCACAGUGGGACAGGGGCACGGGCCAGACUCCUACGGGAGGCAGCAGUGGGGGAUCUUCCGCAAUGGACGAAAGUCCGACGGAGCAACGCCGCGGGAGUGAUGACGGCCUUCGGGUUGUAAAGCUCUGUUAAUCGGGACGCGGUACCGGAAUAGAAAGCCACGGCUAACUACGUGCUAGCAGCCGCGGUAAUAC